UUAUUCGGCACCUUCGAGGAGGCUGAAAAUCGAAAACAGCUGAUGAGAGGUGGAGGCUUGGGAAGUGAAACUGUCGAAAGCUUUGGAUCUCGAUUAACUCUUCGAAUAUAUCUAUUCAGAUCUAUGAGAGAUGGAUUGAAGAAUCUCAGGGUAAAACCAACUUUGCAGUGCCUUGCUGUAAACAUGGUCGAAUGGAAUCCUUUGUCUUGGAUUUACAAGGUGCUAUGCUGUUUGUUUUGCUUUUUGCUUCAUGGAGUACCUGGAAUAUGAGAUAUAUGUGCGACUAUGUAAGGAAGGAUCUGGUUAUAUACAAUUUUCACUGGUUU